UUUAGCCAUGCUAGUUGCACGGGUUCAGACUCGUNGCAUAUAGCUCAGUAACACGUGGCCAAACUACCCUACAGACCGCGAUAACCUCGGGAAACUGAGGCCAAUAGCGGAUAUAACUCUCAGACUGGAGUGCCGAGAGUUAGAAACGUUCCGGCGCUGUAGGAUGUGGCUGCGGCCGAUUAGGUAGAUGGUGGGGUAACGGCCCACCAUGCCGAUAAUCGGUACAGGUUGUGAGAGCAAGAGCCUGGAGACGGUAUCUGAGACAAGAUACCGGGCCCUACGGGGCGCAGCAGGCGCGAAACCUUUACACUGCACGACAGUGCGAUAGGGGGACUCCGAGUGUGAGGGCAUAUAGCCCUCGCUUUUCUGAACCGUAAGGUGGUUCAGGAACAAGGACUGGGCAAGACCGGUGCCAGCCGCCGCGGUAAUACCGGCAGUCCAAGUGAUGGCCGAUAUUAUUGGGCCUAAAGCGUCCGUAGCUUGCUGUGUAAGUCCAUUGGG
rnacentral:rRNA from 1 species